CCUACGGGAGGCAGCAGUGGGGAAUUUUGCGCAAUGGGGGCAACCCUGACGCAGCAACGCCGCGUGAGUGAUGAAGGCCUUCGGGUCGUAAAGCUCUGUCAGAGGGGAAGAAAUGCAGGUGGUGAACAACCAUUCUGUUUGACGGUACCCUCAAAGGAAGCACCGGCUAACUCCGUGCCAGCAGCCGCGGUAAUACGGAGGGUGCGAGCGUUGUUCGGAAUUAUUGGGCGUAAAGCGCGUGUAGGCGGUUUGUAAAGUCUGAGGUGAAAGCCCCGGGCUCAACCGGGAAAGGGCAUUGGAUACUGGCAGACUUGAGUACGGGAGAGGAGAGUGAAAUUCCCAGGGUAGGAGUAAAAUCCGUAGAUAUUGGGAGGAACACCGGUGGCGAAGGCGGCUCUCUGGACCGGUUCUGACACUCAGGCGCGAAAGCGUGGGAAGCAAACAGGAUUAGAUCCCCUGGUAGU
rnacentral:rRNA from 1 species